rnacentral:lncRNA from 1 species
GGCGACUCUUACUCAAUAACCCGACUUCUUCAUCAUCGGAUGGUGUUCGAUUUGGUAUGUCAAAUUGUAAAAAUUUUAGAUUCUCCACAGUAGUAAUAGUAGGGGUAUCAGUGGUAAUUUUCUGUAGUUUUGGAUCUCGCCUAAUUCUUCUGGCAGAUCGAUUAAAUUGUGUAAGAUUUAAUGUUAAGUUAAUUUGUGU